GACGAACGCUGGCGGCGUGCUUAACACAUGCAAGUCGAGCGGUAAGGCCCUUUCGGGGGUACGACGAGCGGCGAACGGGUGAGUAACACGUGGGUGACCUGCCCUCAGCUCUGGGAUAAGCCUGGGAAACCGGGUCUAAUACCGGAUAUGACUCCAUGACGCAUGUUGUGGGGUGGAAAGCCUUGUGCGGCUGAGGAUGGGCCCGCGGCCUAUCAGCUUGUUGGUGGGGUGAUGGCCUACCAAGGCGACGACGGGUAGCCGGCCUGAGAGGGCGACCGGCCACACUGGGACUGAGACACGGCCCAGACUCCUACGGGAGGCAGCAGUGGGGAAUCUUGCGCAAUGGGCGAAAGCCUGACGCAGCGACGCCGCGUGAGGGAUGACGGCC
rnacentral:rRNA from 1 species